CAACAAAAAUGCAAAGGCAAGAGGCGCUAGAGCGAGACAGCUUGCAUUUGAAGCAGAGCGCACAGCGGAGAUCCCAACUUACUUAAGCACUAAAAAAACAAAGAUACCCAGCUGCGUCGAGUUUCCAAGAAGCAUUUAUGUAAGUGCUGAAUGUAG